rnacentral:rRNA from 1 species
GACGAACGCUGGCGGCGUGCUUAACACAUGCAAGUCGAACGAUGAAGCCGGAGCUUGCUCUGGUGAAUUAGUGGCGAACGGGUGAGUAACACGUGAGUAACCUGCCCUUGACUCUGGGAUAACUGCUAGAAAUGGUAGCUAAUACCGGAUACGACCCUCGGAGGCAUCUCCAGGGGGUGGAAAGAAUUUCGGUCAAGGAUGGACUCGCGGCCUAUCAGCUAGUUGGUGAGGUAACGGCUCACCAAGGCGACGACGGGUAGCCGGCCUGAGAGGGUGACCGGCCACACUGGGACUGGGAAGCGGCCCAGAGUCCUACGGGGGGCAGCAGUGGGGAAUAUUGCACACUGGGCGCAAGACUGAUGCAGCAACGCCGCGUGAGGGAUGACGGCCUUCGGGUUGUAAACCUCUUUUAGUAGGGAAGAAGCGAAAGUGACGGUACCUGCAGAAAAAGCACCGGCUAACUACGUGCCAGCCGCCGCAGUAA